GAUGAAGAACGUAGCGAAAUGCGAUAAGUAGUGUGAAUUGCAGAAUUCAGUGAAUCAUCGAAUCUUUGAACGCACAUUGCGCCCCCUGGUAUUCCGGGGGGCAUGCCUGUCCGAGCGUCAUUGCUGCCCUCAAGCACGGCUUGUGUGUUGGGCCUCCGUCCUCCUCCCGGGGGACGGGCCCGAAAGGCAGCGGCGGCACCGCGUCCGGUCCUCGAGCGUACGGGGCUUCGUCACCCGCUCUUGUAGGCCCGGCCGGCGCUUGCCGACACAUCAAUCUUUUUUCCAGGUUGACCUCGGAUCAGGUAGGGAUACCCGCUGAACUUAAGCAUAUCAAUAAGCGGAGGA
rnacentral:misc_RNA from 1 species